AGAGGCUGCUAUGGGAUUAGAACGUAGCUUGAGAUCUGCAGGUCAACAGGUCUCUCUGUUUGGCAUCUCAGGUUUUCCUCACAUAAGUGAAAGAUGCCUGGUAUGACCUAGUAUCGUUCUGCCUCCUUCCUCUGCCUGCCAGGUAUACAUGGACUGGUAUGAGAAGUUCCAGGACAGGCUCAACAAGAAGGUGGUACUCCUGACAGGCGAGACCAGCACAGACCUGAAGCUGUUGGGCAAAGGGAACAUUAUCAUCAGCACCCCUGAGAAGUGGGACAUACUUUCCCGGCGAUGGAAGCAGCGCAAGAACGUGCAGAACAUCAACCUCUUCGUGGUGGAUGAGGUCCACCUUAUCGGGGGCGAGAAUGGGCCUGUCUUAGAAGUCAUCUGCUCCCGAAUGCGAUACAUCUCCUCCCAGAUUGAGCGGCCCAUUCGCAUUGUGGCACUCAGCUCUUCGCUCUCCAAUGCCAAGGAUGUGGCCCACUGGCUGGGCUGCAGUGCCACCUCCACCUUCAACUUCCAUCCCAAUGUGCGUCCCGUCCCCUUGGAGCUGCACAUCCAGGGCUUCAACAUCAGCCAUACACAAACCCGCCUGCUCUCCAUGGCCAAGCCUGUGUACCAUGCUAUCACCAAGCACUCGCCCAAGAAGCCUGUCAUUGUCUUUGUCCCGUCUCGCAAGCAGACCCGCCUCACUGCCAUUGACAUCCUCACCACCUGUGCGGCAGACAUCCAACGGCAGAGGUUCUUGCACUGCACCGAGAAGGAUCUGAUUCCGUACCUGGAGAAGCUAAGUGACAGCACGCUCAAGGAAACACUGCUAAAUGGGGUGGGCUACCUGCAUGAGGGGCUCAGCCCCAUGGAGCGACGGCUGGUGGAGCAGCUGUUCAGCUCAGGGGCUAUCCAGGUGGUGGUGGCUUCUCGGAGUCUCUGCUGGGGCAUGAACGUGGCUGCCCACCUGGUAAUCAUCAUGGACACCCAGUACUACAAUGGCAAGAUCCACGCCUAUGUGGAUUACCCCAUCUACGACGUGCUUCAGAUGGUGGGCCACGCCAACCGCCCUUUGCAGGACGAUGAGGGGCGUUGUGUCAUCAUGUGUCAGGGCUCCAAGAAGGAUUUCUUCAAGAAGUUCUUAUAUGAGCCAUUGCCAGUAGAAUCUCACCUGGACCACUGUAUGCAUGACCACUUCAAUGCUGAGAUCGUCACCAAGACCAUUGAGAACAAGCAGGAUGCUGUGGACUACCUCACCUGGACCUUUCUGUACCGCCGCAUGACACAGAACCCCAAUUACUACAACCUGCAGGGCAUCUCCCAUCGUCACUUGUCGGACCACUUGUCAGAGCUGGUGGAGCAGACCCUGAGUGACCUGGAGCAGUCCAAGUGCAUCAGCAUCGAGGACGAGAUGGACGUGGCGCCUCUGAACCUAGGCAUGAUCGCCGCCUACUAUUACAUCAACUACACCACCAUUGAGCUCUUCAGCAUGUCCCUCAAUGCCAAGACCAAGGUGCGAGGGCUUAUUGAGAUCAUCUCCAAUGCAGCAGAGUAUGAGAACAUUCCCAUCCGGCACCAUGAAGACAACCUCCUGAGGCAGUUGGCUCAGAAGGUCCCCCACAAGCUGAAUAACCCUAAGUUCAAUGAUCCGCACGUCAAGACCAACCUGCUCCUGCAGGCUCACUUGUCCCGCAUGCAGCUGAGUGCUGAGUUGCAGUCAGAUACGGAGGAAAUCCUUAGUAAGGCAAUCCGGCUCAUCCAGGCCUGCGUGGAUGUCCUCUCCAGCAAUGGGUGGCUUAGCCCUGCUCUGGCAGCUAUGGAACUGGCCCAGAUGGUCACCCAAGCCAUGUGGUCCAAGGACUCAUACCUGAAGCAACUGCCACACUUCACCUCUGAGCAUAUCAAACGUUGCACAGACAAGGGAGUAGAGAGUGUUUUCGACAUCAUGGAGAUGGAGGAUGAAGAACGGAACGCAUUGCUUCAGCUGACUGACAGCCAGAUUGCAGAUGUGGCUCGCUUUUGUAACCGCUACCCUAAUAUCGAACUGUCUUAUGAGGUGGUAGAUAAGGACAGCAUCCGCAGUGGUGGGCCAGUUGUGGUGCUGGUGCAGCUGGAGCGAGAGGAGGAAGUCACAGGCCCUGUCAUUGCGCCUCUCUUCCCGCAGAAACGUGAAGAGGGCUGGUGGGUGGUGAUUGGAGACGCCAAGUCCAAUAGCCUCAUCUCUAUCAAGAGGCUGACCUUGCAGCAGAAGGCCAAGGUGAAGUUGGACUUCGUGGCCCCAGCCACUGGUGCCCACAACUACACACUGUACUUCAUGAGUGACGCUUACAUGGGAUGUGACCAGGAGUACAAAUUCAGCGUGGAUGUGAAAGAAGCUGAGACGGACAGUGAUUCGGAUUGAGUCCUGAGGCAUUUACUUUUGGGUAAAGGAGAGUUGAGCCUGAAUUAGGAAUGUGUACAUUGUAGGGAUCCUGGUUGUAGGGACCAGGUCUGUGGGCCUCAGGUCUAGCCAGCCAGGGCUGGUGCUUUCCCCGCCCACCUCCACUUCCUUUCCCUUGCUCACUCUGGAUCCAGUGACAGCAGGUGUCAUGGGUCAAGCAUAAAUCAUAUAUAGCAUUUUUCAGGCAUGUUCCUGGUAAUUCUUUUGAGUCUGACAUUCUAAUAAAAUAAUUUGUAGAAACCA
rnacentral:sRNA from 1 species